ACAACCGUGUUCAAGCUAUCCAGCUUGUCCAACAGGGUAGCUACACUCCCGGUAUUCAUCACUGGUGCACGUACGGACCACAAGAUGAGUCUGUCCGCGACCACCUACACGGUGACAUCAUUAUUUGCUAGGCUUCCUCUCUUCGCCAGUGAGUCAAGCUGGCUUCACACAACGCAGCAAAGUCCACUGACAAGCAUCACGUGACUGAGCCGCAACGAACUGCUCCGCCAGCAGCUUAUCUGCUUCGUCCUCGUGUGCGCAGUGAUUAGGCAACACUGAGUCACCUAAUGCUCGUCAGCACAAUUUGUUCCGUCACUUUAAUUCAGCUUGAGUGUGUGCCUAGAAGCGGAAACGCAGCGCAAUAAAUAAAAAAAAAACGAGGAUGUGUGUGUCAUUGAAGCUCACUGGCCUCUCCGUUCGAUCGCCAGUGCUGCCUCCAGCUUUCUUGUCGUUUUCAACGGGAGUCCUUCUCACAUGAUUAAUUUUCUUGCACUAAGUGGAAGGAGAAAGCAUUAAACCUUGGUUUAUUAUGGGAGAGUAUUUCAGCAGUAUUGGAAGACUCUUUGCAAGUAAGUAGCGCAAAACACGAAGGAAAAUGUUCCGAGCUGAUCCGCUUCAUAGUGCAUGGCUUGGCAUGUGUAACGCACGGUCAGGGUUGUCCGCAGUCUCAGAGAUCGUAACGGAGCAAAAGGGUUCCAUCUCUGAGGGCACGUGCUGUCCAACUGGGAGAGAAAGAAAACUCGGGAGAGAAAGACAAUCCGCUUGAAAAUUGUUGCGAACCGUACUAACACGGGACAUUGCUGGUUAAUGAAAAGCAUGCGACUCUGGUUUACCUGCAAAAAAUUAUCAAUAAACUUUGACUUAUUAUAGGCUACCAUCAACCUGUGUACUGAAGCAUCGGUAACCGUCCUUCGAAACCGCUGCGGCAUUUUUCACCCUCGCGAUUAUCGUUGGGCAGCCGCGAAGCAGUCAAAAAGUUCACCCAGGUGAAGCGCGUUACUGAUUAAGGAUGGCCACUAGUCAGAAGAAGCCGUUCCAGCCCAGAAAGCGAUGGCCUUGCGCUGCCGUCUGGUUAUCUACCACAAGGGUUCAGAGGUGGCCUGCAAUGGCAUGGUUCAAGCACUUACAUGAUGUUCUGAGGGCAGCAAGAUAAGGAUGGUGACAAAGAUAGGCAUGCCAUGAACAUGUUCAGCUAUCGAGAGGAAAGCACGGCGCAAGUGGUGUUCCGAUCCAAGCGUCCCUUCCUAACUUUGCAGCCCGCUCCGCCUAUGCGUGGUCGACGGUGGGGACGGCGACUCGGCUGUUGGGCGCGUCCUGCUGGUGUCACGCGAUCCUCCAAGACGGCGCUGACGACAGCGCCCAUUGUUCCUCUGCUCUCUAAGCCAUCGCCCUACGGCUUCCUUCAAAGGAACUGUGGCCACGCUGCCAUUCGGCGAAGCUGCAGCAGCUGCUCGACGCCCGAGAAUCGCACGCAGCAGCCCAACUGGCGUCAUUGAGGAGGUAAUGUACGUGUCCCGACCUGCCUGCAUGCUGCCCUUCGGCGACGCUGCGGUGGCUGCUCGAUGCCGAAGAAUCGCACGCAGCAGCACCGCCGCGAGCAGCACUCACUUCGCCAAGUGCAUCGCAUGCUGCAGCUGCGGCGCCUCCAGCGAUCCAGUGUUGCCGAACGAGGUCACGUCGACUAUUCUUUCUCUAGAAACAGUCGACGCGCGUGGUCACCACGUUUAUGUUAACUCUUUUGCUUUCGUGAUCCGUCACUUUUUGUUCUACUCCUUGUUUAAUAUAUCAAUAAAUAUGGUUUUGAUUGU